rnacentral:rRNA from 1 species
GACGAACGCUGGCGGCGUGCCUAAUACAUGCAAGUAGAACGCUGAAGGAGGAGCUUGCUUCUCUGGAUGAGUUGCGAACGGGUGAGUAACGCGUAGGUAACCUGCCUGGUAGCGGGGGAUAACUAUUGGAAACGAUAGCUAAUACCGCAUAAUAGUAGAUGUUGCAUGACAUUUGCUUAAAAGGUGCAAUUGCAUCACUACCAGAUGGACCUGCGUUGUAUUAGCUAGUUGGUGGGGUAACGGCUCACCAAGGCGACGAUACAUAGCCGACCUGAGAGGGUGAUCGGCCACACUGGGACUGGGACACGGCCCAGACUCCUACGGGAGGCAGCAGUAGGGAAUCUUCGGCAAUGGACGGAAGUCUGACCGAGCAACGCCGCGUGAGGGAAGAAGGGUUUCGGAUCGUAAAGCUCUGUUGUAAGAGAAGAACGAGUGUGAGAGUGGAAAGUUCACACUGUGACGGUAUCUUACCAGAAAGGGACGGCUAACUACGUG